rnacentral:lncRNA from 1 species
UCUCAUGUCCCCUCUGACAUGUCUGCUCUUGCAGUUAAAUGCCUGUCAGUCUGUGAAAGGAAGGGGAAGAUAAACACAUUCAUUUUGCUGUAACAACAGAAAAUUAUUUGCUUUUCAUAGAAUCAUAGGUUCUAAGUCCAUCUAGUCAAACCUUUCUUGUCUUUUUUUUUUUUUUUUUUUUUUUUUUUUUCCAGAUUUAAUUACUUGAAUUGGUCUACUGCACAGACAGGAGGACUUGGGAUGACUCAAGGUUGGGAUGAGCUGUACAGGCAAAAGUGUGGAAGCAGCUGAAGCUGGGGAGAGAUGCGUGGGAGUACCUGAACCACCUACUUAAAGAAAUUAGCUGUAUUCAGGAUCUUAGGAUCUGACAAUCAGUCAGAGGCCUUCAGGUGUAAAGACUAUCUAUUUUCUUCUCUGUGUUUUAUAAGAGAAAUUCCCUCUCAGCUGGAUAGAACUGAAAUUCCAUUACAGAAUUGCCUUUAAAGUCCUGCCUUGGGUAAAUUUCUCAUAUGGAUACAGUAGAGGAUUAAUUAAACAACA